UACGAAGAGGGCUAGCGUUGCUCGAAAUGACUGGGCGUAAAGGGCGCGUAGGCGGCGGUCACAGUCAGAUGUGAAAUUCCUGGGCUCAACCUGGGGGCUGCGUUUGAUACGUGCGGGCUUGAGUGCGGAAGAGGGUCGUGGAAUUCCCAGUGUAGAGGUGAAAUUCGUAGAUAUUGGGAAGAACACCGGUGGCGAAGGCGGCGACCUGGUCCGAUACUGACGCUGAGGCGCGAAAGCGUGGGGAGCAAACAGG
rnacentral:rRNA from 1 species